rnacentral:rRNA from 1 species
CGGGAACUCAAAGGAGACUGCCAGUGAUAAACUGGAGGAAGGUGGGGAUGACGUCAAGUCAUCAUGGCCCUUACGACCAGGGCUACACACGUGCUACAAUGGCGCAUACAAAGAGAAGCGACCUCGCGAGAGCAAGCGGACCUCAUAAAGUGCGUCGUAGUCCGGAUUGGAGUCUGCAACUCGACUCCAUGAAGUCGGAAUCGCUAGUAAUCGUGGAUCAGAAUGCCACGGUGAAUACGUUCCCGGGCCUUGUACACACCGCCCGUCACACCAUGGGAGUGGGUUGCAAAAGAAGUAGGUAGCUUAACCUUCGGGAGGGCGCUUACCACUUUGUGAUUCAUGACUGGGGUGAAGUCGUAACAAGGUAACCGUAGG